UAGGGGGAUUAUAGGUAUUGAUGGAGCAGGGACUUCUAAUGAGCCGAGUUUUCGGUCCAUUGUGUUACCUUGCUGCACUGAGAAGGUUUGUAGUUGUGCCAGACAUGUAUUCAUUAUAAUUGUGCUGGCUAUGAUAGGUAACAUUCUUGUCAACACCUUUACUUCUUCAACCUGCGUCACUGUGCAGACUGUCCAUGGCAAGGGCUCGGCAUCAUUGUGAAGAAUUGCAGCUUUGUCAAGGGAUCUGGAUCAGGCCGUGUAAUCUUGAGGAAUCAGCAACCAUUAGCAAAAAAAGAAAUGCAUUAAGGUACGUAAUCUUUAUGCAUCUUUUCCAGUUUACUCAUUAUCUUGAUGAUUUAAGUUGCAUGCUUUAAAAUUAUGUCAAAGAUUUGAAUUGGGGUUCACUUCAAUGAAAAAAUUGAGGUAGUUUUGAAGCUUCUCCAUUUUUCCCUGCAACCGCAGUAGAUUAUUAGACUGGAGGGUUAAUUUAAUCGAGUAACUUUACAUUCUAAGCUUAUUGUCUGUUUUGUACUUAUAUGUUCAUAUAACACCCUUAAGUCCACCUUAAUACAAUUUCGGAAUUUCCUCUAAUCCUUUCCACAAAUCGUAAAUGGUGUACAAAACGCAGCCUGGAUGUUUAUUUCGUACACAUUACUACAUGGGACAUAACAAUAUUAAGCCCCUGUUUGGCUUAGGUGAAAAUCAGAUUUUUAGUAGCUUUUAAUAAAAAUUGAUAGAAUAUGUGGUUGAAAAGUUGUGGAUUCUAUAAAAUAUGUUGUUAAAAUUAAUUGUUGAAUUUGACUUAAAUUAUUAACAAACUUUUUAGUUGAACCAAACAGGGUUUGAGCAAGAUAAAACAAGACAACUAAAAUCUUUUUCCUUGUACUUUCGAGUCCCGUCCUACUUAAUAAACAUACCGUUAGAGGAUAAUUUUGUCUUAUUCGCUCCAUAGGCUAAAAUGGCACCUGUUUUGUAUCAAUGCGACUAUGAUGCAGUUAAAUCCAAGUGGGGGUGGGUUCAAGAAGGAGAUUACUGCUUUCUCCAAUAAUAAUUAGCUCGACAAGAAAAUAAAUAAAGUACCUAAACUGUUCAGUAUGAGCAAUCUUGGCCUCUGUGGAAGCUGAUUCUCUCUCAUUAAUCUCAUACAAUUCACUGGCGCUCUCUGGAGGUGGCAACUUUCUAUUCUUUAUUGCCACAAUAAUAACCUGAGAAUCGGGAUUAAGAAAAAAAUGACUUGAGAACCUUUUUAUUUUUAUUUUAUUUUAUUAUUAUUAUUAUCUUAAAUUGUGAUAUAAUAGAUUAGCCAUGACAUUAAAUUGUGAUAUAAUAGAUAAACAAAUCACGUGUCAGCGUAUCUCACAUGUAUCGUGCACGUGUGUGUCGGUGCAUCAUACACUCUAAGCCUCUCUGAAAUAGGACCUGGCCUAGCUGAUUUGACACCAUUAAUUUGAAUGUAUGGAUGGUGCAGUCAGCAUUGAAAUCUUAAAUAUUUGAAAAUAGGCAAAAUGUGUGCACGAGCAUGUGACGGAGGGGAUAGAUACCUGUGCGAUUCUUACUAGAGGGCUUUCUUCAGGGGCUUGAAGGCGGUAGAAAGGCUUUCCGAGGGCAAGAAUGAUAAAACCAACAAAUGCACUCACAAGAGUUAUGAGAAAACCCUUCCACCAGUUAUGGUUAUUCUUGUUUGUGCUAAUGUAAACUAUGACAGUGACUCCAACUAAUGAACCAGUUACCGUACUGAGCAAGAGCCAAUUGAAAUAACUUGCAAGACCCUUGGCUUCCUUUGGGUCCUUCUGAUCAAAUUGAUCAGCACCAAGUGCAGGAAGUGACCCCCUAACCCCACCUGAUCCCAGUGCAAACAAACACAGGGAUGCAUAGAACAUGAUUGCUGGUCUACCUGUCAUACAAUUUGACUUGCCACAAGAUGCUGGUUGCAACUUCUCGUCAUGUGCUUGAAUUGUCAUCAUCAUUAGAGCCUAAGGAAAUUAAUGAAUACAAACUCAUUUCUCAGGAUUUGGGACUUGCUAUGAAAGAAAGUAUAGGCAGAAAAGAGUACUGAGGAGAAAACAGGGGAAAGAAGCUAACCAAUAUCUCUACCGUCCCAAAAAUCAGACUAGUGUGGAAUCUGUUUAUAUAAGUGUCCGAAAUGAAGCCA
rnacentral:lncRNA from 1 species